rnacentral:rRNA from 1 species
GGACUACCAGGGUUUCUAAUCCUGUUUGCUCCCCACGCUUUCGCUCCUCAGCGUCAGAACAGGCCCAGAGAACCGCCUUCGCCACCGGUGUUCCUCCCGAUAUCUGCGCAUUUCACCGCUACACCGGGAAUUCCGUUCUCCCCUGCCUGCCUCUAGCCUGCCCGUAUCCACUGCAGACCCAGGGUUAAGCCCUGGGAUUUCACAGCGGACGCAACAGGCCGCCUACGAGCUCUUUACGCCCAAUAAUUCCGGACAACGCUUGCGCCCUACGUAUUACCGCGGCUGCUGGCAC